CUGCUGCCUCCCGUAGGAGUCUGGUCCGUGUCUCAGUACCAGUGUGGGGGGCCUUCCUCUCAGAACCCCUACGCAUCGUCGCCUCGNGGCGGUCCCGUCCCGC
rnacentral:rRNA from 1 species